GGUAGCGGAGCGUUCUGUAAGCCUGCGAAGGUGUUCCGUAAGGAAUGCUGGAGGUAUCAGAAGUGAGAAUGCUGACAUGAGUAGCGAAAAGAAGUGUGAGAGACACUUCCGCUGAAAGUCCAAGGUUUCCUGCGUAAAGCUAAUCUGCGCAGGGUUAGUCGGCCCCUAAGGCGAGGCAGAGAUGCGUAGUCGAUGGGAAUCAGGUUAAUAUUCCUGAACCAACUAGGAAGUGACGGAUUCAGUAAAUUGUAUGUCCUUAUUGGAUUGGAUGUGCAGUGAAUGAGUCCCGGGAAAUAGCCCUAGUAUAGACCGUACCCGAAACCGACACAGGUGGACAGGUAGAGAAUACCAAAGCGCUUGAGAGAACUAUGUUGAAGGAACUAGGCAAAAUACUUGCGUAACUUCGGGAUAAGCAAGCCCCAUUUCUGGGCAACCAGAGGUGGGGGGCACAUACUAGGGGGUAGCGACUGUUUACUAAAAACACAGGGCUCUGCUAAAUUGAAAGAUGAAGUAUAGGGUCUGACGCCUGCCCGGUGCUGGAAGGUUAAGGAGAGAUGUGCAAGCAUUGAACUGAAGCCCCAGUAAACGGCGGCCGUAACUAUAACGGUCCUAAGGUAGCGAAAUUCCUUGUCGGGUAAGUUCCGACCUGCACGAAUGGCGUAACGACUUCCCCGCUGUCUCCAACAUAGACUCAGCGAAAUUGAAUUCUGAGUUAAGAUGCUCAGUACCCGCGGUUAGACGGAAAGACCCCGUGAACCUUUACUAUAGCUUUGCAGUGGUAUUAGGUGACAAAUGUGUAGGAUAGGUGGGAUGCUAUGAAGUUAUGACGCUAGUUGUAAUGGAGCAGACGUUGAAAUACCACCCUUUUGUUAUUUGAUAUCUAACCUGCUUCCGUUAUCCGGAAGAGGGACCCUGCAUGGUGGGUAGUUUGACUGGGGCGGUCGCCUCCCAAAGAGUAACGGAGGCGCGCAAAGGUUGGCUCAGAUUGGUCGGAAAUCAAUCGUUGAGUGCAAUGGCAUAAGCCAGCCUGACUGCGAGAGCGACAGUUCGAGCAGAGACGAAAGUCGGUCAUAGUGAUCCGGUGGUCCCGAGUGGAAGGGCCAUCGCUCAACGGAUAAAAGGUACUCCGGGGAUAACAGGCUGAUUCCGCCCAAGAGUUCACAUCGACGGCGGAGUUUGGCACCUCGAUGUCGGCUCAUCACAUCCUGGGGCUGG
rnacentral:rRNA from 1 species